rnacentral:rRNA from 1 species
CGCUGGCGGCGUGCUUGAUACAUGCAAGUCAAGGAGAACAUUGUCUUCGGACAAUAAGUAAACUGGCGAACGGGUGAGUAACGCGUAAAUAACUUGCCUCAGAGAUUGGGACAACAUUGGGAAACCAGUGCUAAUACCAAAUAAUGCAGCGGGCUCCUUGGAGCAUUGUUGUUAAAGUAGGCUUCGGCUUACACUUUGAGAUAGGUUUGCGUCCGAUUAGUUGUUGGUGGGGUAACUGCCUACCAAGACUAAGAUCGGUAGCUGGUCUGAGAGGAUGAUCAGCCACACUGGAAUUGAGAUACGGUCCAGACUCCUACGGGAGGCAGCAGUAAGGAAUUUUGCACAAUGGGCGAAAGCCUGAUGCAGCAACGCCGCGUGAACGAUGAAGUUUUUAGGAAUGUAAAGUUCUGUCGUAUGGGAAGAGAUCUUUCGAAUGUUAAUACCAUUCGUUAAUGACGGUACCAUACAAGAAAGCACCGGCUAACUUCGUG